UACGGAGGGUGCGAGCGUUGUUCGGAAUUAUUGGGCGUAAAGCGCGUGUAGGCGGCUCCUUAAGUCUGAUGUGAAAGCCCCGGGCUCAACCUGGGGAGUGCAUUGGAAACUGGGGAACUUGAAUACGGGAGAGGGUAGUGGAAUUCCUGGUGUAGGAGUGAAAUCCGUAGAUAUCAGGAGGAACACCGGUGGCGAAGGCGGCUGCCUGGACCGAUAUUGACGCUGAGACGCGAAAGCGUGGGGAGCAAACAGG
rnacentral:rRNA from 1 species